rnacentral:snRNA from 1 species
GGAUGUGAGGGCAGUCCAGCUGAGACAUCUUCACUCCAUUGAUCACCAGGGUUGAUUCAGCUGAUCUAACUGGCUAGGCUGGGGUUUCCUUCCUCCCUUACUAAUCUCAAUGCUUUCCUCCAGAAGCUGCAUGUUGGGUCAAAGCUGCUCCCUUAUAGAGGAGGACUAUCUUUCUGUCAAGAAUAUACUAGUAGCUGUAUUCCUCUACUAGAACCUCCAAACAAGCUCUCAAAAUAAUAAGAGCAAAAAUGGACUAGGGUUAUAGCUCAAGCCAUAGAGCACAUGCUGAGUUA